rnacentral:lncRNA from 1 species
CUUACAUAUAAAAAAGAAGAUGUGGUAUGAUUACCCAACAUAUCCCCUUACAUAUGAUAAAAGAAGAUGUGGUAUGAAUGCCAAUGAGACAACCCUCCACAAGAGACCAAAUGACACAGAUAUUAACAACUUUAGGUCAUCGUACGGCCUUCAACAAUGAGCAAAUCUCAUACCGCAUAGACAGCUUUUAAAGGCCCCAAAAUGACAAAUGUUAAACAAUUCAAACAAAAAUCUAACGGGCUAAUUUAUGUACAAAAAAAAUGAACGAAAACCCAAUAUGUAACACAUCAGCAAACAACCACAAAAGAAUU